rnacentral:rRNA from 1 species
ACUCAAAUGAAUUGACGGGGACCCGCACAACCGGUGGAGCGUGUGGUUCAAUUCGAGACGAAACGAAAAACCUCACCAGGGCUUGACAUACAAUCGUACAUUUCCUUAGAAAUAGGGAGAAAUCCGCAAGGAUGAUUGCACAGGUGCUGCAUGGCUGUCGUAAGUUCGUGCCGUGAGGUGUUCCCUUAAGUGGGGAAACGAACGCAACCCCCGUGGAAUGUUAAAUAUUCAUUUCAGACGGUCCCAUUUUUUGGGAAGGAAGGAGGGGCAGACGUCAAGUCAGCAUGGUCCUUAUGCCCUGGGCUACACACACACUACAAUGACGAAGAACAAUGGGCUGCAAGCCGGUAACGGCAAGCGAAUCCCAGAAAUUUCGCCUCAGUUCAGAUUGAGGGCUGCAACUCGCCCUCAUGAAGUCGGAAUCGGUAGUAAUCGCGGAUCAGCAAGCCGCGGUGAAUACGUUCUCGGGUCUUGUACACACCGCCCGU